rnacentral:rRNA from 1 species
UACGGAGGGUGCAAGCGUUAAUCGGAAUUACUGGGCGUAAAGCGUGCGCAGGCGGUUUGUUAAGUCUGUUGUGAAAUCCCCGAGCUCAACUUGGGAAUUGCAAUGGAUACUGGCAGGCUGGAGUAUGGUAGAGGAAGGUGGAAUUCCCGGUGUAGCAGUGAAAUGCGUAGAGAUCGGGAGGAACGCCAGUGGCGAAGGCGGCCUUCUGGACCAAUACUGACGCUCAUGCACGAAAGCGUGGGGAGCAAACAGG